CGUGGCCUACGGGGGGCAGCAGUGGGGAAUAUUGCGCAAUGGGCGAAAGCCUGACGCAGCGACGCCGCGUGAGGGAUGAAGGUCUUCUGAUCGUAAACCUCUGUCAGCAGGGAAGAACGGUCACUGUGCUAAUCAGCAGUGAAUUGACGGUACCUGCAAAGGAAGCACCGGCUAACUCCGUGCCAGCAGCCGCUGUAAUACGUAGGGUGCGAGCGUUAAUCGGAUUUACU
rnacentral:rRNA from 1 species